GAUCAUGGCUCAGGAUGAACGCUAGCUACAGGCUUAACACAUGCAAGUCGAGGGGAAACGAUAUUGGAAGCUUGCUUCCGAUAGGCGUCGACCGGCGCACGGGUGAGUAACGCGUAUCCAACCUGCCCAUCACUUGGGAAUAACCUUGCGAAGGUAAGACUAAUGCCCAAUGAUAUCCCACGAAGGCAUCCGAAUGGGAUUAAAGAUUUAUCGGUGAUGGAUGGGGAUGCGU
rnacentral:rRNA from 1 species